UUGAAUUCCUCCGUAUCAUUCGUCACUGGCGUCUCCGUCUUGUCAUCUUUCACCACCGAUAGAUACUGAUGCUGAGUCCUGAACAUGAAGAGACAAGGGUUGAGUUGUUUUUGAAGAGGAACACGCUGUUGUCUGUCCACCAGCAGGUGAAGGAGACAAAGAAGAGUUGUAGCAUUCAUCCUCGCGUCUGAGGGAAGAAUAACCACACGGUGUGUUGACAGAGUGACUGGGAUGCAGAUAUCCAAUGAAGGGAAUCAAACAUGCAAAAUCCAGAGAGAAAAAAAUGGCAUCAAGCAACGAGACGUCAGGAUGAAACAUUAACAGAAACCACAUCCACAACCCUGCUGACAUCCCCAACAUCAGUUCUCAUUGACUGCCAACAAUUGGAACGCCUUGCUUAAAGCCUGGCUGAAGACAGAACAAUGGCAGCAUUCAGAAAACAGCUCCAACACCUCUGCAACGGAGGCAUCAACCCAUGACAGUGACUCAAGGUCUGACUCAGCUCAGCUGGUGCUGUCCAUUGCUCUGUGGAAAAUGUUUUGUUCUAACUAAGAAAGAUGGAGGCCUUCCUCUAAAGUGGAGGGCUGAUGGAAGUGAUUAUAGGCGUCUGGGCGUAAUUCAACUCCCCUCGGACUUAGUUCUUUAAAUAGCUUGAUGGAGUGGGCUACGGGUAGAGCGGAUGUGGGAGUUCCUGUGCUCUGAUGUGGGGGCUGGGACCACACGACCAUGGCGGCAUGCCCACCCCCUGGGGAAGCGAUACGCAUAUGCCAUCCAGCUCAAAUAAGGAGCCCUGCAAAAGCCCUGUGUUUAGAACUGUAAGGUAGAUGUGGCAGAUGUGUAGCCAAACUGAAAAGCUUCCACUUUUAAAGCUAAUUCUGGCGACACUGGUAAAGUAAUUAUUCAUUCACAUUAUGACCCCUA